UCUGCGCUGAACCAAGGCUGCUCCAGGCUUCAUGUCUGUGUACUGACUGUCAUUCCGAAUGCCAUUUGCUUACUUUUAUUGUUUGCAUGAUUUGUUUUUUUUUCUCUCUGCACUUUGGGUGUUUGAUGGUCUUUUUUUAUGGAACACACACAAAUCGCUGGAGGAACUCAGCAGACCAGGCAGCAUCUAUGGAAAAGAGUAAGAGUACAGUCGACGUUUCGGGCUGAGACCCUUCAUCAGGACUGAAGAAGAAAAGGUAUUGCAGAGAGAAUUCUGACCAGGUGCAUCACGGACUGGUAUGGAGGCUCAAACGUACAGGAUUGCAGGAGGACUGUAGACUCAGCCAGCUCCACCAUGGGCAGAAGCCACCCAAUCAAGGUCAUCUUCAAAUGAGAUGACCAGUCAUGCCCUCUUUGCAUUGCUACCAUCGGGGAGGAGGUACAGGACUGAAGACCCACACUCAGGGAUUUACAGAUAGCUUCUUUCUCCCAUCAUCAAAACUUUGAAAGUGUGCUGCUGUCUCAAUGCAACACAUGUCAGAACAUGAUAAGACAGUGAUAAGACCUGAUUCUCGUUCUGCCUGACUCUGACCGUGGCCGGCGCAGUUAGCGUGGAGAGCAACUGCAUGUGAGAAAGGGGCUCACGGAUAACUUCUGCCUAAUGUGAAGCAGAGACAACCGACCAGUGUGAAUGGAUGUAGGUUCUUCUAUUUCUACACUCAGAACAACACUGGAGACCAUUAUCCCCUCGGGUCCAUUGUAGCAAUCUGUCAUUCCCAUGACCUCUCUCUUUAUUUCCCUGCAUCUGGAAACUCAUUCUCUCUCAGAGACUUGCCCACUAAUCCCCCUUUCAAACAGUUUGCCAUUAAACUCCCCUGCAGGGUGAUUUACAAUGACCGGUUGGACAUCAGGGUAUCUGGAGGAAUUUGGAGAGGUAUCAGACUAUCACAGAAUUGAGAAUGUACAGAUGGCACCCAGGGACAUCAGA